CUAAAAAAUGUAUGUUCAAAUCAUUACAUGCUUCAACUAUUGAUAUUUUGGGAAUCUCCAGCUACUACCGACACAAGUUGUGAGUUUGCAAUCAACUCUCCUCAACACUCUUUGAGGGCUGCUAAUGAUCCUAAGGCGUGACUCCAAAUUCUGAGAUUUCUGUUGAAUUAAGAACAUUUAGGAGUCUUAAAUAGUCAAUCAGAUUUGAACCUAUUGUAAGGUCUCUAAGUGUCCUUCUUUAUCGUUUGUCUUCUUCUGCAAUCAAGUGUAGCAAAGCAAACUUUUUUUUCCUUUAAUAGUUGGAAAUUGUGGAAGGAUUGAUCUUAUAUGGGCAUUAAAGUAGUGUCAGUAUACGUGUACGUGUCGAAAAAUGCUCAACUCUAAAUUGCUAAUUUUAUGUACGAUUCAAGUUGUAUUAUCAUGUUGUGUAGUAUAUACCACAUGAUUAGUUUU